rnacentral:misc_RNA from 1 species
GGUUUAUGGAGCAUUAAUGUGGUCGCUCGGGAAGGUUCUGAAUACACCUGAGGUUGUACGUGUUUAUAUUGGCUCGUUUAAUGACAAACCGGUUAAUGAAGCUGCUACAGGUCCACUCGGAAAAGAGCUCUUUGAAAAAGAACAGGAAGAUCUUCUUUCUGAUUUGAAGGAUAUCCCAAAGAAGGCGUGUGAUCGAAGAAUUAAUGAAUUCGUCAAGCGUGCAAGAGCUGCUAAAAUUCAUGCCUACAUCAUAAGCCAUCUUCG